rnacentral:lncRNA from 1 species
CCAACGGCGCCACGGCGGCGACGAGAAGUGGCGAGCCCCGAGAGCGGGUUUAGUUAGAGGCUACGGGCGGUCGGGCGCGGCGGCGGCGGCGGCCAUGAGCAGCGGGAGCGAGAGCACUACCGCCAGCAGGUGGCCCGAGCUGGCCACGCUGCGCGCGCUGGCGCGCGACGCCGCGGAGCAGCUUCGGCUGCCGCGGGCCGGCACGUCGGCGUCGGCGUCGUCGCCGUGGCGCGGGCGCGAGGACCACCUCCACGGCCACGGCAAGACGGCCAAGGUGAUGCACCUGCUGCUCUGGGGACCCAAGUGAAGCGGCGAGAGGCCACCGUACCGCCGGGCUCUCCCGCUGGCGUUGCUCGUUUUGCUCUGCCUGCAAUCCGCCCCGCACGGACUGUACUGUACCUAUAUAUACACCUACAUACUACGACGUGCACCUGUACUACGACGUGCUGCUGUACCAUACUAAAUACUAGUGCGCUGCUGCUCCCUUGCCUUCUUGCUUGCACCAGCCACUCCGCUUUUUUGCUCGAACGAUCGACUGCUCGUGUCGCGUCGGGCCACGGCCGGUCGUCAGUUUGGGUGUGUCCACUCCACUGUAAAGCUCCUUUUUUGGGUACUCCCUGCAUGCCAAAGUUAGCGGACGUGUACUAGGUGUGGUUCGGAGCAGCAGGUUGUAUUACUUACCACCCCCUCUGUGAUGUAAGAACGCGUGCUGAAAUUAUCAUGUCGAUACCAAGUUAUGGCAUAUGGAUUGGAUAAGAAUGGGAAAAAAUAUGAUAGAUUUUGACUUACUAUAAAUUUAAACUCACUCAGA